rnacentral:rRNA from 1 species
UGGGGAAUAUUGCACAAUGGGCGGAAGCCUGAUGCAGCGACGCCGCGUGGGGGAUGAAGGCCUUCGGGUUGUAAACUCCUUUCGACAGGGACGAAGCUUUUGUGACGGUACCUGUAUAAGAAGCACCGGCUAACUACGUGCCAGCAGCCGCGGUAAUAUGUAGGGUGCGAGCGUUGUCCGGAAUUACUGGGCGUAAAGAGCUCGUAGGUGGUUUGUCGCGUCGUCUGUGAAAUUCCGGGGCUUAACUCCGGGCGUGCAGGCGAUACGGGCUGACUUGAGUGCUGUAGGGGAGACUGGAAUUCCUGGUGUAGCGGUGAAAUGCGCAGAUAUCAGGAGGAACACCGAUGGCGAAGGCAGGUCUCUGGGCAGUAACUGACGCUGAGGAGCGAAAGCAUGGGUAGCGAACAGG